UUGGACUACCGCUGAAGCACUAUUAGGUCUAAGCCUAUUGAUGCUUAACUUGAAACUUUGUCUUCUCCUUCAGUUCCAGCGUGUCUUCUGAAUUUUCCAGUUCCCAGUCGCUUUCUGUGGUGUAUGCUCCAGUCUCUCCGUGUUCAGAUCCAAGUUCAAGACAGAAAACCAAGUCAAGUCUCAGCCAUCGUCAGUCUAAACUUCCCAAACAUCCAUUACUCAUCUGCCACUGAUCUCCGUGCAGCAUCUGUGUCAAUAAAUAUAAUUAUCAUUUUACUCACCUUCAUGCCUUGGUUCAUUUCGUAACAGAAAACUGGACCAAUAAUGCUGAUAAAGUGAGAGCACAGUUGAUCCAUUCCAGGAAUUAGUUGAUUCACUCUAAAGAGUGCUCCAGCAUCCAUUAGUCUCCACAUCACCACCGGAAUCACCUGUCAGCAAUCCGCAAACGCAGAGCACUACUUCACCGCCAACGCUCAACAGUUCCAUGACCCAACAGGCACCCUACUCUGACCCUGAAAUACCCUUCAUAGUCAAGAUCGAUCCAACUACUGGAGUAGGAGCAGUCCUGCCGCAGCAUCAGGGAAGCCAUCCAUGCCUCCAUCCAUGUGCCUACUUCUCCCAGAAGCUCAGCCAUCAAGCUCGCCCUGGAGGAGUGGAGACACUAGGUUUGCUAUUGGACCAUUUCUAAUGACCAGCUAUGGCAAGGGAUCUGAGAAGGCAACUGCCCGUGGUCACACAUAAGAGAGCCUGGCCCGACAGAGGAACCAGACUUUUCAUUGAUCCCGGAAGAAGUUACUGUUACGAAUUUGGCGUGUUCUUCCACCAGCUAACCACCAUCCAGCACACCUGCCAGCCAACCACAAUGCUCCCUGUCACCUGAAUACUAACCAGCCGCACCUGAAUCCCAUCACCAGCUCAUCAAGACUGUCUGGUCUUGUUGCUACACGGAGUGGACUACCACUGACUCUCUAUUGAGUCUAAGCCUAUUGAUACUUACCUUGAAACUUCCAUUUUGUCUUCUCCUCCAGUUCCACCAUGUCUCCUGUAUGUUCCAGUUACCAGUCGCUGUCUAUGGUGUGUGCUCCAGUCUCUCCGUGUUCAGAUCCAUGUUCCUGUCAAAUCAAGUCUUAAUCGUCGUCAUCUAAGCUUCCCAAAUAUCAGUUACUCAUCUGCCAUUGACCUCUGUGCUGCAUCUAUCAAUAAACAUCAUUAUCAUUUUAAUCACCUUUGUGUCUUUGGCCAUUUCGUAACAAGCAAAUUUCAAAUGUAGUUUUGUCUAACUAUAGUACACGUUUAUCACUUUGAAAUGGUCCAUUUUAAAUGAGGCUUGGCCCACAGGACACAACGGUACUCCUGGACCAUGUUCACAUAUGGCUUCCUUUUUGUAUAAUAGAGCUUUAGUUGGCAUCUGCAGAUGGCAUUAUGGGGAUUAUGUUUACAGACAGUGGUUUCUAAAAAGUAUUCCUGGGCUCAUUUAGUAAUGUCAAUAACAGAAUUAUGCCAAUAAAUAAUGCAGUGCUUUCUGAGAGCUCAAAGACCACUGACAUCCAAUAUAGGUCUUCAGCCUUUUAAAUAGAUUUCUCCAGUUUUUCUGAAUCUUUUGAUAAUGCUAUAUGCACGUUGGAUGAUGGGAUUUGCUAUCUGACAUUCAGGAACAUUGUUUUUAAAGUAUUCCACAAUCUUUUUACUUAAUCUUUCACAGAUUGGAGAGCCUCUGCCUUUCUUUACUUUUGAGAGACAUUAAUUCCAUGGUUAAUCAUGUAACAUACCUGAUGUCAAUGAUUGCUUUUUCAACUCUCUUUUGCCCCUGUGCCCUUGUAACAGGCAUCAAUCAAUCACUUUUAUUUAUGUAAUGCUUUUAACAAUACAGAUUGUAUCGAAGCACUGAACAGUUGCAAAUAGGAGAAUACAAUGAUAGGGAUGUAUAAUGAUAAGAUUAAACAAUUUGUUAUUAAACUAAUUAAAUCAACUCAACAAUAAUUGCUAGAAAUUGUGUCCGCAGCAAAGCAAGCCAGAAGCAACAGCAGCAAUGAACUAAAGCCCCACCCGUACAGAAUGCAGAAAAAGAACCUUGGGAGAAACCAGGCUCAGUUGGAACCAGUUCUCCUCUAGCCAGACACUAAGUAACUGAAUAAGAGAGAAACAGACUAAUAAUAGCAUAGAUGCCCUUCUUUUUUUAUGAUGUAAUGAGUAUAUUGUGCUUUAUGAGGAGUGUUCUAGCUGAUCUAAUUAAUGCAGCCUAACAAUCCUUUAAUAAAUUUGAAUAAUAAAAGCAUGUUAGUUUGUUAUGUGUAGGCUCGGAUGUGCAUUUAAUCUAGAUCACAUUGAAAUGAACUCAUUUAGUGGAUAAAAGUGUACAAUUUUAUAACCAUAUAUAUUCUAUAACGUUAUAUUCUAUUGUGAAUAAAAUAUUGGCUCAUGUGAUUUGAAAGUCUUUUAGUUUUUUUUAUUCAACUUUGACAAAUGUUCCUACAUGACUGGAAUUCAGAUUGUAAGUGGCCAUCCUUAAAGAGCUUGCUCUGUGAAGCUGCCUUCUAAACAUACACAAAACGCAAUGGCUCUGUUGACAGUAGCUUAGUUAAAAAUUACUAAACAAGCUUUGUGUUGCUGUAAUGUUACUUAUCAAGUACAGAAGAUACAAAACAUGAGAUUGCAAAACAUUUCUAGUUUAGACCAGAGUGCUAGGACAACAAUUCAAUGGUCCAUAGACAUGACAAUACUAGUAGAGGGACACUCUUUAUUCUUCAGAAAAAUGGUCACUCUCAUAUUUCUCUUAAAUUAGAAUUUCAAGCCUAGAUAUAUCAAUCAAAGUUAAUUCUGUACAAAUAUUGAGAACAUAAACUGGGCACAAAUGCCAUCAUUUCUAUAUAAUUACCCUGGUGUAAAAUAAAGAAGUAACAAGGGAGUGAGGAAAAGAAAUAGUGAACACAACUCAACUGUGACGGUUAAAAAAAAUCACUAAGACUAACACAGUUAAUUUUAUGGCAUUCCCUUUCUCUUUCAUUGCUGCAGUGAAGGACAGAUCAAUUAUUGAUAAAGUCACUCAAUCUAAAAGUGCAAUUUACUGCUUUUAGCGAUCUAACUCUUAUAAUUACAGUUGGGGAUCUAAUGUGGCCUGUCUGGGGCUUAACCACUGCUGUAUUCAGCACAGUGAUUGUGAAAUGCUUACUGUAUCUGCUUGACAUUCAGCUCAAUGGUGUAUUGGGAUGUUUUUCACUGGACAUUUUAUUCAACCAGUUGUCACGUUUUCAAAAGAAUCUAAUUAAGAUGUGUAGUGUGGUGUCAGUGUGGAGUGUAACAUGGGUAUACCGAUAUCAAAGAUAUCAAACUAAAGAACAUAUGAGAUGCUCUUAUUAUCUGUUUUUUUCUUUUUUUUUAAUAAUUCACAUCCAGACACACAGCAGAGGAUUUUCAUACAGAUCUUGACAAAAGUUGUCUACUGUUGGAGUAAUUUUAACAGCAGUAUUAUUGUCACGAUCUUUAGCAGGAGUGCCCAUGCGGUCUGCUAGAGGGCACCCCAUACUGUAACCUUUAGGACUCACCCUGGACUCUAUUCCCAUUUUUUUCUGUUGCUGAAAAGCAAUGUUCAAUACCGAAACCAUACUUUCAAAACUGUUUAACAGUCUGCACUACCGACAUGAAUCUCAACCAAAUGGUUCAUCUCACCCUCAAAACUCACUCAGACCAACAAAAUACUUCAAAUCGGUCUCAGAAUAAACUUGUUUCAUCAUAACACUGAGAACAAUUCUCAUUCAGAAAACAUACAUUUAAUUCUUAACACACUGAUUUAAAAAAAAACACUAAAACAUUUAAAGUUUGAAUGAUUUGUUUAAUAAUUGGACAAGAAUAACAUCUUUUCAUUUUACCCACUCAGCACAAAGAAUGAAUGAGAAAAGCAGCAUUUUCAUAGAAGUCUAUGAGGACCACAUUUUUCAAAAUUCACAAACGCUUUUGUCAUUCAUACUCUACAACCUGAAAAACACUAUUAAUUUUUCAGAUGCUAAGACACUGCUUUCAAAACUGAUAAAAUCACAUUCAAAUCAGAAUAAUAACAAACUCUGUCCAUUUCUGCAGGAAUUACAUUAAAAUAUAAAAUCCUAGUAGAAUAUUUAUUAUAUUAUAUAAUAUUGAAUAAUAAUUAUUUCAAACAUAACUUUAAAACAUAACCCUCACAGUACUGAACAUCCAUCAAUAUAUUCCAUGCAUUCUCCUCAGUGUUGGUCCCAUACAGUCAUGAAGGCUGGAGACAGAACAACCCUCUGGACACAUUCAUAUUCACACUCACUUACAGUCUCCAGUUCUGUCCUGUAUGUCGGAUAUGGAUUGUGAGAGAAACCAACAUCAACACAGAGAAUACAUACAAACAUAGAAAGGUAUAGUGCAGCAGCUGGGAGACAUACAGUACCUCCAUUAUUUGACUGAUGAUAGUUUUUAUUGCUUCAGUUGUGUAUGUCAAAUGUAUGUUUUUGAAUGAAAAUUGUUCACAGUGUUAUAAUAAAACAAGCUCAUUUUGAGACCUAUAUGAAGUGUUUUGUUGGUUUGUGUGAGUUUUGAAGGUGAGAUGAACCAUUUGGCCAAGAUUCAUGUUGGUAAUGCAGACUGACUGUAUUGAACAAUGCUUGUUAGCAGUUGAAAUUAAAAAAAAAAAAAUGAUCAUAAGUCAAGUAUAAUGAGGUACUGUAUGUGCAGAGUCCCAGAUGCUGCAGAAAACCUUUCUGUGUGGAGUUUGUAUAUUCUCUAUGUACAGUAAGCACAGAUUCAUGUUUGUUGGCUCACUUAAAGUGUAUGUCACAGUUCAUGCAUUGCAGGUUCAUGUUAUAAGCAUCUCUUUGGGGAGACGCUUUCUUCUGUCUUGGUUUAAGACAAUUGGAGAAUUCCUGUCAGCAAGGCAUUUGUUUUGGCUUUCUCUGUCCUUUCACUUUUUUGCCUUUCCUUUAGUCUUUUGAGUUGUAAAUUGCAAAGAAAUAACUGGACUUAAGCUGUGAGAAUUCACUGAACAAUGAUAAAUGAGACCAUUUGCUAAGUAUUUAUACUGACAUGUUGCAAUAGUAAUCAGUUGUUUGCUUCAUUAACCUUGCUGCAAAUCAAAGAUUGUUGCAUUGGACUACGAUUUCUAUAUUAAAAACCUAUGAUAUAUGUGCUUUGACUUUGCACUUCCAAGGUUUUAUAUAAUUGAUCAGAUGCCGCACAACUAUUUUUACAAAUAUAUACAGUGCAAAGGUUGUACUGGUGUAGACACAGUGGUUUUGCAAACAGAGGAAUUUUGGAACACUUACUUGUAUAGGGACCAAUUCUCACUAUUGACUAGUGGCUUAUUGGCAUUCUUAUUAAUAACAUGGCUGUUUAUUAGUACUCAGAAAGCACAUAUUCUGCAUGACCAUAUUCUACAUCCCUAAUCCUAAACUUAAAAACUACCUUACUAACUAUUUGUAGUUUACUGAGGCAAAGGUUGAUGGUUUACAUAAAACUGGAUCUUAAAAUAAAGUGUGACCAGAAAUUUUCAGAGCUGAAUGUAUGCCAACACUAUUUUGUGUCGUAAAAUAGAUAAAAGCAGAUCAAAUAUUAGAUCCUUUAUUUUGUUGUACUAGCACAAAAAACCCUGCCUGCCUUUGUGAAUAAACGAAAAAGAGGAAAACAAAUGUUAAUAUAUCCAUUUUCUUUCAAUCAAAACAACCUCGAUGCAAAUCAUGGCAUUAUUAGCCCUAAAUUACUUAAAUUAAUGUAAAUUAAUGUAACAGGUUAUUCUCUGCAUUGCGCUUUUUCACUGGUGCUUUGUGUUUUCAGUGUCCAGUGAAUUAUGGCAGACAGAGCGAUUCCUCACCUCUGACACGUAUCCUGCAGUCUUCUGCAGAUGCUGUCAGGUUGUCGAAACUGCUUCCUGUGGGCUGGAGCUGAGUACUUGUUAUUUUCAUACCUGCAUCAGGCUGUCUGGUGGGGUUGAGCUGUACCUGUCAGUCUCACCCCUCAAUGACCUUGCUGUAUCUUAUCUGACUUUCAUCUGUUGUCAAACACUCUCUGUAGCUUAUUUUUUAUACACAUUCUUUGAAUUUUAUUGUGUGUCUGUGUGUGUGAGCACAGGACUUUAAUAUUCAGCAGAUUGUAUUGGUUUUUGCAAAUAAAAUGUCAACAUGAAAUGUCA